GAAAACCUGAAAAAUGCAGGACUGCUCAUUCAAUCUUGGGAAGAGCUGGAUGAUUCUGCACAAGCAAAAAUGACUUGAAAUAUAUGUAUAGACACAUCUCUACCAGUC